AGCCUCAUUCUGGAUUAGAAUGGGCACUGCUGAUUGGUGUCCAGAAUUGGUCAAUGUGGCUAAAAGUGAGACACAGGUCAUGCUUCCAUCACAGUAAAUAUUUACAGUGGUGACAAUGAGGCCUGUAACAUCU
ensembl:snoRNA